GUCCCUACCUGGAGGACCCCACAGUGGGCUGGCCAGCUGUUACCGCCAGCAAUGAUGGAGCUGCCUCGUUGAAGGUUUAUUAGGUACCAAGUGUCACAGGCACUUCCUGACACUUCCUUGCCGUGCUGUCAGAACACUUCACACUUCAGUGGUGAGCCAGAAAGGAAAUCGAUGGACCUGGAGCUGCGAGGGAUUGCUCGCCGAUGACUUGACAAGACCAGACAAGCUUGACUGUCCCUUCCGGCGCCCACCCCAGAGGACAACUGGGCUGACUGGGUGAGCCCCUACCUUCCAGGAGCCUGUGGUCUCUUUGGAGAGAUGAGAGAAUCGGUGGGGAGCUCAGAGAGAUGAAUUUUCCUUGAAGUCAGAAGACUUCAAGGGCCAGCCAGUCUUCUGAUCUUCCCAUCGCAAAUGCCAGGUUCUUCCCCAGCGCACCCUGAGGGCAAAGAGGGGCGCAGAGCCACAAAAAACAGCCUUAUUCUAAUGAGGACGCUCAUAUCCUACUUCAGACCUUGUGCGCGCUCCCUCUCUCCUCCUCGCUUUCCCCUUUACUCAGAGAUAACUGUCUUUACCCCCUUGGAGGAAGGUGACCCCCAAUGCCCACCGUCACCAUCCAGCUGAGAUGGUUGGAUGUGCUGGGGAAAGGCCUGGGCUUCUG